rnacentral:rRNA from 1 species
AGAUUGAACGCUGGCGGCAUGCCUUACACAUGCAAGUCGAGCGCCCAGCAAUGGGAGCGGCGGACGGGUGAGUAACACGUGGGAACAUGCCCUUUGGUACGGAACAACUCAGGGAAACUUGAGCUAAUACCGUAUGUGCCGGUAACGGGAAAGAUUUAUCGCCAAAGGAUUGGCCCGCGUCCGAUUAGCUAGUUGGUGAGGUAACGGCCCACCAAGGCUCCGAUCGGUAGCUGGUUUGAGAGAACGACCAGCCACACUGGGACUGAGACACGGCCCAGACUCCUACGGGAGGCAGCAGUGGGGAAUCUUGGACAAUGGGGGAAACCCUGAUCCAGCCAUGCCGCGUGAGUGAUGAAGGCCUUCGGGUUGUAAACUCUUUCGACGGGACGAUAUGACGGUACCCGUAGAGAGCUCCGGCUAACUUCGUGCCAGCAGCCGC